CUGUAAGGGACUGUGGAGCGCAGGGAAGUGAGGAUGCAGACAUGAGUAGCGAUAAAACAGGUGAGAAUCCUGUUCGCCGUAAACCCAAGGUUUCCUAUAGCCACGCUCGUCGGCUUAGGGGUUAGCCGGGUCCUAAGGUGAGGCCGUAAGGCGUAAUCGAUGGAAAUCAGGUUAAUAUUCCUGAGCCGGCAGGCAAUUAGUGUGUAAGUGCGCGGAAGAAGAGGUGAAUACCUAUAUGGGAAAAGGAUUAGUCCUCGUGGCAACUCCACAUCCAAAUCGACCGCCUAGAAAAGCUUAUGCUCAUUCUAUGCCUGCCGCCCGUACCAUAAACCGCCACAGGUAGGAGGGUGUAAAUGUACUAAGGCGCGCGAGAGAAAUCUCUUUAAGGAACUCUGCAAUCUAGCCCCGUAACUUCGGAAGAAGGGGUGCCAUCUUCGGGUGGCCACAGUAAAGGGUGACUGGCGACUGUUUACCAAAAACACAGCUCUCUGCUAAGAUGUUAAGUCUACGUAUAGGGAGUGACACGUGACCAAUGCGGAAAGAUUAAGGCUGUUCUGUGUAUGCAGGGCACCGAAGUCCCCGUGAAUGUCGGCCGUAACUAUAACGGUCCUAAGGUAGCGAAAUUCCUUGUCGGGUAAGUUCCGACCUGCACGAAUCGUGUAACGACCGGACUGCUGUCUCAGAGAGGAUCUCGACGAAGUUGUAAUGGCGGUGAAGAUGCCGCCUACCCGCGGUAGGACGGAAAGACCCUAUGCACCUUUACUGUAAGCUGGUAUUGGGUUCUGGACUAUGAUGUGUAGUAAUAGGUGGGAGACAUUGAAGUGAGCUCGUCAGGGUUCAUCGAGUCAACAAGUGAAAAACCACCCUUUAUUUUCUAGGAUUCUAACCUCGAUUCCUGUUAGCCAGGCGAGGGACAGUGCUUGCGGGUCAGUUUGACUGGGGCGGUUUCCUCCCAAAAAGUAACGGAGGAGCGCGAAGGUACUCUCAGUAUGGUUAGCAACCAUACGUUGAGCGUAUAGGUAGAAGAGUGCUUGACUGUGAGACCGACAGGUCGAGCAGGUACGAAAGUAGGCCUAAGUGAUCCGGCAGUAGAAAAUGGAAUUGCUGUCGCUCAUCGGACAAAAGGUACGCUAGGGAUAACAGGCUUAUCGCGCCCAAGAGUUCAUAUCGACGGCGCGGUUUGGCACCUCGAUGUCGGCUCGUCACAUCCUGGGGCUGAAGAAGGUCCCAAGGGUUCGGCUGUUCGCCGAUUAAAGUGGCACGCGAGCUGGGUUCAGAACGUCGUGAG
rnacentral:rRNA from 1 species